rnacentral:rRNA from 1 species
ACGCUCGACACCUACGGGGCAGCAGUGGGGAAUAUUGCACAAUGGGGGAAACCCUGAUGCAGCGACGCCGCGUGAGCGAAGAAGUAUUUCGGUAUGUAAAGCUCUAUCAGCAGGGAAGAAACUGACGGUACCUGACUAAGAAGCACCGGCUAAAUACGUGCAGCAGCCGCGGUAAUCUGAGCGGGCUGGCAAGGC